AGUUUGACAAUGAAAUUCUACAUGCAACUGGAAUUUUGAGGUAGCACUUCUAGCAAUAGCUGUAUCACCUCCACGGGUCCAAGCCCUGCUUGAAAGACACAAUGAAGAGAUGACCAUGUGCAAACCAGAAAGAGUACCCUUACCAGACACUAGAGCUGGCAGAAAUUUGAUC